rnacentral:rRNA from 1 species
AACGUAGGAGGCAAGCGUUAUCCGGAGUUACUGGGCGUAAAGCGCGUGUAGGUGGAUCGGUAAGUUACUUAUCAAAGCUCCUGGCUAAACUAGGAGAGGUUGAGUGAUACUGCCAGUCUUGAAUAGAGGAGAGGUUGACGGAAUUCCGCGUGUAGUGGUGAAAUGCGUAGAGAUGCGGAAGAACACCAGUGGCGAAGGCGGUCAACUGGCCUCAUAUUGACACUCAGACGCGAAGGCAUGGGUAGCGAACGGG